AGCUGUUUCCGGUGAGGUCAACUGCAGGAUCAAUAGCAUUCAGCGGUGAGUUUAAGAACGCUCAAAUGUGGGUAAAAUAACAUUCAGAGAGGAGUUUUAUUAAAACAGCGUUCAACUGCACGUAAGACAACAUUCAGAGGUGAGUUUAACAACGCUCCACGGCGCGUGAGAUUAAGUAUUUUAAGCGUUUUCUGAUCAUGUAGUGCUUUAUUAGACGUGAUGCAUGCUGGGUGUUAAAUCAUUUUUAUCAAAUGAUCGUUGAUGUUAAUAAAUAUAGAUCUAAAUAUACAUUUGACUUGUGUUCGAUUAAUUAAUAAGUUGUUUAAUUAUUAAUUUGUUUAUUUAAAGUCCUGUAAUAACCGUGACGUCAUCGAAUGAGACGAAGGUCCAUGGCUAUUUCAACUCGGAAGUUGAGAUGAAGAACUCCAAGAACAUCUCUUGAUCUUGGAUAAGUUGGUUGAUGGUCAAGAACUAAAGGAUGAGCUCCAAAGUCUUGAUGACUUUCUUGGUGAACUGCAAGAAAGGCAGCAGCACCAAUGAAGACACCUGAGGCAAGGGUGCAUUGGAGAAAAAGAGACAUUGAUGGAAAUAUUGUCUAUGCAAGGCCAAGGUCAAGCAGGAAUCAACAAAAAAAGCUGAUCACAUUCGGAACAAUGAUCCUCCCAAUGCUCCUGACACUCAUUGUGAGGUGGCCUUUGCUCCAGAGACUGUUGAGUGUAUUCACUGAACGAUUUCUCAAGGAACGACGCAUCACCUCCUGGAACCCCAAGAGAUCCUCUUCAGGCUUCCUCAAACUGGAGCACACACAAAUUCUCUUUUCAGAGAGGUGGAGGACAGAGAGACCCUGUCUGCUGAACACGGCUGUGGCACAAGAAAAUGUGGCAGCACAUCUGGCAGAGUGUGGGAGAAGCCCAAGCUGUUAUCCAGUGUUGUGACUGACGACCUCGUCCCUUCUUCUGUGCUGAAUUGGACGUCAUCAUGUCCUCCAUAGCAGAGAUGCCAUGACUGCUGGAUUCUUCCAGCCAUUGCCACCAACAACUGUUGUGGUGGAUAAGGCUCUUUCCCAUUGUGAGUCAUUAAGGGUCUGUCCAGGAAAGAGUUGCUGUGGUCACAAUCAAUGGUAAGAA